GACGAACGCUGGCGGCGUGCUUAACACAUGCAAGUCGAACGGAAAGGCCCUGCUUGCAGGGUACUCGAGUGGCGAACGGGUGAGUAACACGUGGGUGAUCUGCCCUGCACUUCGGGAUAAGCUUGGGAAACUGGGUCUAAUACCGGAUAGGAGCCAUCUUUAGUGUGGUGGUUGGAAAGUUUUUUCGGUGUAGGAUGAGCUCGCGGCCUAUCAGCUUGUUGGUGGGGUAAUGGCCUACCAAGGCGGCGACGGGUAGCCGGCCUGAGAGGGUGUACGGCCACAUUGGGACUGAGAUACGGCCCAGACUCCUACGGGAGGCAGCAGUGGGGAAUAUUGCACAAUGGGCGCAAGCCUGAUGCAGCGACGCCGCGUGGGGGAUGAAGGCCUUCGGGUUGUAAACUCCUUUCACUAGGGACGAAGCUUUUUUGUGACGGUACCUAGAUAAGAAGCACCGGCUAACUACGUG
rnacentral:rRNA from 1 species